CUGUAAUCCCAGCCACUCAGGAGGCAGAGGCAGGAGAAUCGCUUGAACCUAGGAGGCAGAGGUUGCAGUGAACCGAGAUCCGCCACUGCACUCCAGCCUGGGCAACAGACCGAGACUCCAUCCCCCCCAAAAAAAAAAAAAAUCCUGCUGGGAUUUUGACAGGGAUUAUGUUGAACUGUUGAAUUGUUGGAUUAAUUUUAGGAGAAUUGCCAUCAUGACAAUAUUGACUGUUCCAAUCCAUAGCAUGAAACGCCUCUUCAUUUAUUUAGAUGGGAAUUUUUCAGCCUUGGCACUACUGAGCCCAGAUAAUUUUUAGUUAUGGGGGCUGUCCUAUGCAUUGUAAGAUAUUUCGCAGCAUCCCUGGCCGCUACCCAUUAGGAGCAACAUCCUCUCCAAGUUGUGGCAACCAAAAAUCUGUCCACACAGUGCCAAGUGUUCCCUAGUAGGAAUCACCCCUGGGGAUUUAGAUCUGAUUUAGAUCUUCUUUAAUUUCUCUCAGCAAUAUUUUGUAGUUUUCAUUGUAUAAUACAAGUCUUGCACUUAUUUUGUUAAAUUUAUUUAUUUAUAAGUAUUUCCUUUUCUAGGUGCAGUGGCUCAUGCCUGCAAUCCCAGCACUUUGGGAGGCCGAGGCAGGAGGAUCACAAGGUCAGGAGUUCCAUACAAGACUAGCCUGCCCAACAUGGUGAAACCCCGUCUCUACUGAAAAUACAAAAACAGCCUGGCGUGGUUGUGUGCACCUGUAAUCCCAGCUACUCAGGAGGCUGAGGCAGGAGAACUGCUUGAACCCGGGAGGCAAAGGUUGCAGUGAACAGAGAUCGGGCCACUGUUAUCCAGCCUGGGUGACAGAGUGAGACUCCAUCUCAAAAAAUAAAUAAAUAAAAUAAGUAUUUCCUUUUAAUGCUAACAUGAAUGGAAUUUUCUUAAUUUUCAUAGUUUCUUGUUACAGAAAAAUGAUUUUGUGUGUGUGUGUGUGAUGGAGUCUUGCUUUGUCACACAGGCUGGAGUACAGCAGGGCAAUCUCAGC
rnacentral:lncRNA from 10 species